rnacentral:rRNA from 1 species
ACAUGAAGCCGGAAUCGCUAGUAAUCGCGAAUCAGAAUGUCGCGGUGAAUACGUUCCCGGGUCUUGUACACACCGCCCGUCACACCAUGGGAGUUGGAAAUGCCCGAAGUCAGUGACCCAACCGAAAGGAGGGAGCUGCCGAAGGCAGGUUCGAUAACUGGGGUGAAGUCGUAACAAGGUACC